rnacentral:rRNA from 1 species
CCUACGGGAGGCAGCAGUGGGGAAUAUUGGACAAUGGGCGAAAGCCUGAUCCAGCCAUGCCGCGUGUGUGAAGAAGGCCUUCGGGUUGUAAAGCACUUUCAGUGGGGAAGAAAGCCUUGGGGCUAAUACCCUCGAGGAAGGACAUCACCCACAGAAGAAGCACCGGCUAACUCCGUGCCAGCAGCCGCGGUAAUACGGAGGGUGCGAGCGUUAAUCGGAAUUACUGGGCGUAAAGCGCGCGUAGGCGGUCUGAUAAGCCGGUUGUGAAAGCCCCGGGCUCAACCUGGGAACGGCAUCCGGAACUGUCAGGCUAGAGUGCAGGAGAGGAAGGUAGAAUUCCCGGUGUAGCGGUGAAAUGCGUAGAGAUCGGGAGGAAUACCAGUGGCGAAGGCGGCCUUCUGAACUGACACUGACGCUGAGGUGCGAAAGCGUGGGUAGCAAACAGGAUUAGAUACCCCGGUAGUC